UGGAAGGCUCUAGGGGAAUAAAGAAGGAAUGACUUCUAAUUUUUAGGUCCGUAUGAUUUGAAAUGUGUGCACACAAACCCCGAGAAAGCAUUCCUGGAAAUCUCGGCCCAAAAAAGGACGUUUAGUAAUUCUAAAAGGGACUACAGGAUGAAAAACAAUAGUUUUGGCAGUUAAAGUUUGAGAUUCGAUAAUGCCGUAGAUCCGUUUGGUCAUCAGGUGUAACGAGCCACACCCAUGUCUGGUUAGAGUAGUGUGCUAGGCUCAGACUAGAUAAGAAACGGGGAACAAACUGAUGAAAGAAUGAUCAUACCGAGCGAAUUCACUCAGAACUAACAAGAAUGAUAACAUGCUCCGACUGGAGCGGUUUAGGAACUGCUGGAAGGCUCUAGGGGAAUAAAGAUGGAAUGACUUCUAAUUUUUAGGUCCGUAUGAUUUGAAAUACUUGCACACAAACCACGCGAAAGCGUUCCUGGAAAUCUCAGCCCAAAAAAGGACGUUUAGUAAUUCUAAAAGGGACUACAGGAUGAAAAACAAUAGUUUUGGCAGUUAAAGUUUGAGAUUCGACAGUGCCGUAGAUCCGUUUGGUCAUCAGGUAUUACGAGCCACACCCAUGUCUAGCUAGAAUAGUGUGCUAGGCUCAGGCUAGAGAAGAAACGGGGAACAAACUGAUGAAAGAAUGAUCAAACCGAGGGAAUUCACUCAGAACUAACAAUAAUGAUAACGUGCUCCGACUGGUGCGGUUUAGGAACUGCUGGAAGGCUCUAGGGGAAUAAAGAUGGAAUGACUUCUAAUUUUUAGGUCCGUAUGAUUUGAAAUACUUGCACACAAACCGCGCGAAAGCGUUCCUGGAAAUCUCAGCCCAAAAAAGGACGUUUAGUAAUUUUAAAAGGGACUAUAGGAUGAAAAACAAUAGUUUUGGCAAUUAAAGUUUGAGAUUCGACGGUGUCGUAGAUCCGUUUGGUCAUCAGGUGUUACGAGCCACACCCAUGUCUAGCUAGAAUAGUAUGUCAGGCUCAGGUUAGAGUAGAAACGGGGAACAAACUGAUGAAAGAAUGAUCAUACCAAGGGAAUUCACUCAGAACUAUCAAGAAUGAUAACGUGCUCCGACUGGAGUGAUUUAGGAACUGCUGGAAGGCUCUAGGGGAAUAAAGAUGGAAUGACUUCUAAUUUUUACGUCCGUAUGAUUUGAAAUACUUGCACACAAAUCACGCAAAAGCGUUCCUGGAAAUCUCAGCCUAAAAAAGGACGUUUAGUAAUUCUAAAAGGGACUACAGGAUGAAAAACAAUAGUUUGGGCAGUUAAAAUUUGAGAUUCGACGGUGCCGUAGAUCCGUUUGGUCAUCAGGUGUUACGAGCGACACCCUUGUCUAGCUAGAAUAGUGUGUUAGGCUCAGACUAGAGAAGAAACGGGGAACAAAGUGAUGAAAGAAUGAUCAUACCGAGGGAAUUCACUCAGAACUAACAAGAAUGAUAACGUGCUCCGACUGGAGCGGUUUAGUAACUGCUGGAAGGCUCUAGGGGAAUGAAGAUGGAAUGACUUCUAAUUUUUAGGUCCGUAUGAUUUGAAAUACAUGCACACAAACCCUGAGAAAGCGUUCCUGGAAAUCUCGGUCGAAAAAAGGAUGUUUAAUAAUUCUAAAAGGGACUACCGGAUGAAAAACAAUAGUUUUGGCAGUUAAAGUUUGUGAUUCGAUGGUGCCGUAGAUCUGUUUGGUCAUCAGGUGUUACGAGCCACACCCAUGUCUAUCUAGAAUAGUGUGUUAGGCUCAGGCUAGAGCAGAAACGGGGAACAGACUUAUGAAAGAAUGAUCAUACCGAGGGAAUUCACUCAGAACUAACAAGAAUGAUAACGUGCUCCGACUGGCGCGGUUUAGGAACUGCUGGAAGGCUCUAGGGGAAUAAAGAUGGAAAGACUUCUAAUUUUUAGGUCCGUAUGAUUUGAAAUACUUGCACACAAACCGCACGAAAGCGUUCCUGGAAAUCUCAGCCUAAAAAGGAUGUUUAGUAAUUCUAAAAGGGACUACAAGAUGAAAAAUAAUAGUUUGGGCAGUUAAAAUUUGAGAUUCGACGAUGCCGUAGAUCCGUUUGGUCAUCAGGUGUUAUGAGCCACACCCAUGUCUAGCUAGAAUAGUGUGUUAGGCUCAGGCUAGAGAAGAAACGGGGAACAAACUGAUGAAAGAAUGAUCAUACCGAGGGAAUUCACUCAGAACUAACAAGAAUGAUAACGUGCUCCGACUGGAGCAGUUUAGAAACUGCUGGAAGGCUCUAAUGGAAUAAAGAUGGAAUGCCUUCAAAUUUCUAGGUCCGUAUGAUUUGAAAUACUUGCACACAAACCGCUCGAAAGCGUUCCUGGAAAUCUCAGCCCAAAAAAGGACGUUUAGUAAUUCUAAAAGGGACUACAGGAUGAAAAACAAUAGUUUUGGCAGUUAAAGUUUGAGAUUCGAUGGUGCCGUAGAUCCGUUUGGUCAUCAGGUGUAACGAGCCACACACAUGUCUAGCUAGAGUAGUGUGCUAGGCUCAGACUAGAGAAGAAACGGGGAACAAAGUGAUGAAAGAAUGAUCAUACCGAGGGAAUUCACUCAGAACUUACAAGAAUGAUAACGUGCUCCGACUGGAGCGCUUUAGUAACUGCUGGAAGGCUCUAGGCGAAUAAAGAUGGAAUGACUUCUAAUUUUUAGGUCCGUAUGAUUUGAAAUACUUGCACACAAACCACGCAAAACCGUUCCUAGAAAUCUCGGUCGAAAAAAGGAC
rnacentral:lncRNA from 1 species